GAAGCUUGCUUCUUUGAUGACGAGUGGCGGACGGGUGAGUAAUGCUUGGGAAUCUAGCUUAUGGAGGGGGAUAACUACGGGAAACUGUAGCUAAUACCGCGUAGAAUCGGGAGAUGAAAGUGUGGGACCUUCGGGCCACAUGCCAUAGGAUGAGCCCAAGUGGGAUUAGGUAGUUGGUGAGGUAAAGGCUCACCAAGCCGACGAUCUCUAGCUGGUCUGAGAGGAUGACCAGCCACACUGGGACUGAGACACGGCCCAGACUCCUACGGGAGGCAGCAGUGGGGAAUAUUGCGCAAUGGGGGCAACCCUGACGCAGCCAUGCCGCGUGAAUGAAGAAGGCCUUCGGGUUGUAAAGUUCUUUCGGUAGCGAGGAAGGCAUUUAGUUUAAUAAACUGGAUGAUUGACGUUAAC
rnacentral:rRNA from 1 species